rnacentral:rRNA from 1 species
UACGAAGGGGGCUAGCGUUGCUCGGAAUUACUGGGCGUAAAGGGCGCGUAGGCGGCGCUGCAAGUCAGGCGUGAAAUUCCUGGGCUUAACCUGGGGGCUGCGCUUGAGACUGUGGUGCUAGAGGACGGAAGAGGGUCGUGGAAUUCCCAGUGUAGAGGUGAAAUUCGUAGAUAUUCGGAAGAACACCAGUGGCGAAGGCGACACACUGGCCCGUUACUGACGCUGAGGCUCGAAAGCGUGGGGAGCAAACAGG